GGGGGGGGGGGGGGGGGGGGGGGGGGGGGGGGGGGGGGGGGGGGGGGGGGGGGGGGGGGGGGGGGGGGGGGGGGGGGGGGGGGGGGGGGGGGGACGCCGGGAGGCGCGCUGGCCCCGCCCCGCCCCGCCGCGAGCCGCCGGCGGCGGCGGCGUGAGGGGAGCGCGGGCAGCGCCACGGCCGGAGAGGCUCUUCACCGCCCGCCGGCAACAGCUUGUGAGGGACAGGGGGUAGGCGCAGGCUGCGCGUCCGUAUGGAGUCUGUCUGGGCAAUUCCCUGCGGAGAAUCACCCAAGGGGGCGGGUUAGAAGGGAACACGUUGGAUCAGCUGGUCCAACCUCCAGCGUCCAACCUCGCUGCUCGAGCAGGGUCACCCCAGAGCUCCUGGCACAGGAUUGCAUCCCCACGGUUCUGGAAUAUAUCCAGUGAGGGAGACUCCAGCAGCGUCCAACCUCGCUGCUCGAGCAGGGUCACCCCAGAGCUCCUGGCACAGGAUUGCAUCCCCACGGUUCUGGAAUAUAUCCAGUGAGGGAGACUCCAGAGUCUCUCUGGGCAAUCUGUUUCUGUGCUCAGUCACCCACGCAGUAAAGAUCUUCGUGUUCAGGUGGAGCUUCCUGUGCAUCAGUUUCUGCCAUUGCCUGGCACCACUGAGCAGAGGCUGGCUCCAUCCUCUUGACACCCUCCCUUCCGAUAUCUAGACAUCCUCUGUGGAGAAUCCUCUGGGAUGCCGGGCAGGUGCAGGCUGCAGUGCCCAGCCCUCAGGGCAGACAGGUCAGAAUCAUGCUUUGGUCUAUCCCAGUGUUAAUUUCAGCAGCUGUCCAAACACAAGGAGUGGCAGAAUUACAGAGGAGCAUUAAUCCGUACAUUUAUGCAAAUCUUUUACCCGGAGGAAAUUCCAGAGGAAACCAUCAGACCUUGCAGAGGUAUCGCUGCUGUCUGUUUAUGGAGAGUGCUGUGGCUACAGCUGCAGAACAGAACAGUUUCUCCUGUGCCUCAGUCAGUGGAACAAGGGCUUUGCUCUCAUGGAGCACAAGGUCUCAUGGAUUGCCCAGAUGCUUCCUCUUCCAUAGACACUGGGGCUGCACCAGUCAGAAACGCUUGGCAUUGUUGUCUGUAAGCACCAGGAAACACUUCUGCCUUACUCUGUGGCGCCUCACUCUUCCUCUGGCAGAGUGGCUACAGCAAUUGCAAUAGCUGGUAACAUUCCACACUACACUGCAGAACUGUAGUGUCAACAGUCAGUCCUGGGCCAAAGGCAGCACCAAAAAACAUGGAGUAAAAUUCCAUAAUGAUCUAACUAGCAGCUUGCUGCCCUCUGCACUUUUGAAAAUAACUUUGUUGAAUUUUAAAACAUUUUCUACAAAAUCAGCUUAACAGUUAAAAACACAGGUCCUGAACGGAUGGUGAGAAACUGUGAUCGAUCUGUACAGGUUUCUGUUCACUUUGAUAAAAUG
rnacentral:lncRNA from 1 species